rnacentral:rRNA from 1 species
GACGAACGCUGGCGGCGUGCUUAACACAUGCAAGUCGAACGCAGUGGCGAACGGGUGAGUAACGCGUACUCAACCUUCCCUUCAGAGGGGGACAACAGUUGGAAACGACUGCUACUACCGCAUACAGAAGGCGGGUAUUGCGUCUGAUUAGAGAGUUGGAGGGGUAACGGACCACCAAGGCGAUGAUAAGUAGCCGGUCUGAGAGGAUGAACGGCCAAAUUGGGACGGAGACACGGCCCAGACUCCUACGGGAGGCAGCAGUGGGGAAUCUUCCGGAAUGGACGAAAGUCUGACGGAGCAACGCCGCGUGAGUGAUGACGGCCUUCGGGUUGUAAAGCUCUGUUAAUCGGGACGCGGUACCGGAAUAGAAAGCCACGGCUAACUACGUGCCAGCAGCCGCGGUAAUUC